UACGUAGGGUGCGAGCGUUGUCCGGAAUUAUUGGGCGUAAAGAGCUUGUAGGCGGUCUGUCGCGUCUGCUGUGAAAAUCCGGGGCUCAACCCCGGACUUGCAGUGGGUACGGGCAGACUAGAGUGUGGUAGGGGAGACUGGAAUUCCUGGUGUAGCGGUGAAAUGCGCAGAUAUCAGGAGGAACACCGAUGGCGAAGGCAGGUCUCUGGGCCGAUACUGACGC
rnacentral:rRNA from 1 species